UGGGGUCGAUUCAUUUGACUUAAAAUUCCAGGUGGUGCCCCAGAAUGGCCUCAGUCUGAUGACUGAAACAAGUAAAAGAUAAAAGAUAUAUAUAUAUAUAUAUAUAUUUUUACACACAUACACAAACAUAAGUAGAUAUACACCAUAAUUUUUGAAUUCUAGAAACAAAAAGUCAUUUGAUGCAUUUAAAUACUCAGUCUAGUAUUUUGUAGAUAUGCCUUUUGUAUAGUUUGUAAUGAUUUAAUCCAUUUUGGUAUUAUGCUAAUGAAGAAAAUACCUCUACAGAUAAUGCAGUAUAAUGGAUGGGGUCUAUUUACUUUUGGAAUGUUUCUCUCCAUGUGUAUGUGUGUGUGUGUGUGUGUGUGUGUGGUGUGUGUGUGUGUGUGUGUGUGUGUG